UAUUCGAAUUCUAUCACCUCAAACACAUGAAACGAGAAACAUUAAAUCAGGUGCAUUUAGAGUUAUCUUCCUUUGUUUACAUGCCUCCACGUGGUUGGAAAAAUAAAAAUCUUUUGGUGCUAUAAAAAUAUAUAGGGCUUGUCAAUGCUUUUAAAUUAUUAUACUAAAUUAUUUAUGUUGUUCUUGGUGUUGUGAAAUAUUUUACCCCAGUGUUAAAAGAAGUGAAAAUGAUUCAAUGUGCAGAAAAUGUUAUAGUCUGUUUUACUUCUUACAAUAGCAGAUACACAAUUUCUCAGUUACUUACAUGCAAUAUACAUGUAAUAAACGUGUGAAGAAGUGCUUAAUUAAAUGAAUAUAGAAUAAAUGUGACAUUAAAAGAUUAGAAAUGGUAAAUGACAAUGUAAACAACCCUCAAGUGAUCAGCUGGUGAUUAUUAUUCAGGCGCGGAUCUAGAAAUUUUUCAGAGGGGGGGGGGUGAAGAGGAAAAGAGUUUAUAUAACUUACGUUUUACAUAAACAUGUACAUGUAGUUAAAUAACUCAAUAGGAUACAGGGUGCAGUGUGGUUUUUAAAAAUGGUAGGUUGAUCAACCUGUGAAAAAAAUACUCGUAUCUAUAGAUUACCUGAAAUUUUUUGAAAGAGUGAAAAAAAAUCUCUGAACCUGUAAAUCCUAUUAUGUAAAGAAGUAGGGUUUCAUUUUGUUAUCACAACCAAAUUUCUUUAUAUAUUACAACAUAAGCCUUUCAAUGAACAUUUUUCUAUAAUAAGAACACAAUACACUGUUGAAAUUUGGGUAUUUCUUUCUCUCUCUUAUUUUGCAAAUCAAAAGGGGGAGGGAGUGCAGCGGGAGCCAAUCCAAGCGCCCCCUAAUAAAAAUGUCCCGGUCAAAGUGUACCCUAAUUUUAGUCAAAGUGUCCCCUGAUUUUAGUCAAAGUGCCCCCUAACAUAUUUUUAUAGAAAAGAUACUGCCACCAAAUAUUACUUUAAGAUUAUUCAAAUUUCCUUGAUCAAAAUCUUAGAGGACAUACAGACACUUAAACUGUAAAGUACUGAGUACUGAGCACAUGAAUGGUACUAGUAAGUAAUUUGAUUGAUUCAUUAUCAUGCCUGGAGUGAUAAAAGUAUUUCAAAAAGUCUGUCAAAUUCUUAAAAACAUAAUUAUUUCACACUCAUGAUGGUGUGUGUCAGUGUCCCUUAUGCAAAAAAUAUAAUUGCUUUAAUAAAUUCUCAUAUAUUUUUAUAAUAUUUUAGAUGUUAAUGACUAAAAUGAUUGAUCAUUAUCGAAAUAAAAUAUCUCUUACAGACAUGAUGCAAAAGGCUAAUUUAUCUUCAUCUUAAACAUAGGAUAUGGAGAUAACGAACAGUAUUCAAUAUCAAAGUCCAUAAAACAAUACAAAAUUAGGAGCAGAGCCAACACAGACCUCCGAAACAUCAGAGGUUGGAUCAGGUGCCAUGGAGGUGUGAGCAUCCCCUGCUGACCGGUCACACCCGCUGUAAGCUCCUUGUCAUGAUCGUGAAAUAAUGGAAAAAUCCAUCGUCAAUUCAGUGUAUAAAUAAUGGACUAACAAUUUGUAUGAAAAACGUCAGUCAGCAUUUACAUAUUGUAAAUCAAUUGUAAAUCAAUAUGAUUUACAAUAUGUAAAUCAACUUUCAAUUGCUUUUCUUGGCUGUACAGCAUUUUAAGUCACAUAGUAGUAUAAUAUGAUAAUAAGGACUUUCAAGUAGGCAUAAUUCUGCUUCAGGCAUAAUUUUAGUUUUUAGGUUUCAUUUAUUUUUCCAGGGGUAGCUUCAUUGCAUUUUUUCGCCUCAAAUCCCUGCUUGACGCAGUGGUUUGAGUGUCUGCUCUAGAGUCGCGAAGUAAGGAGUCAAUCCUUACAUCACAUGUUCAAAUCCCACUGUGGAACUUGGAGACGGUCCUUCGGAUGAGACUGUAUAAACUGAGGUCCUUUGCCACAGUCUCUUCACAUCAAUAUUCUGAUGCUGUCCGCCAGUCGCCCAUCAUACCCCUAAUAUAUUGAAACACAGUGGUGGUACAGAGAUUUGGACAAUCUAUCAUCUACAGGAUGAUGUCAGGAUCACAAACAAAUAAUAAAAUCUGUUCAAGAACUUCAAGAAACUGUCCACUGAGACAUAGAAACAUGUACAGAGGCUAUUUCAAAAUACACACAAAGCAGGAUUUGUCAAAGGUGUGUUUUUGACAAAGAAGGUUUAAAACCUUUGUGGACAUGGAUUUUGAAACUUCUUAAAACUCUGGAAGGAUGAGGAAAAGGAACCAUUGAAAUGGAACAUGUUGGACAGGGUUAUCACGAUCAUGCAUUUAUAAAAGAUGACAGCAUAUCAGCACUGCCUUAAGAUUGGAGUUGAGACCUUGUAUUUUUUUACACAGAAAAUAAAGAACAGUUGCUGAAUGAAACAGAUACUCACAGAAGCAAAUGUAAUGAGCCCAAAAUAAUGGUGAUCAAUUUUGAAUGAUUUUAUUCUCUGGUUGAAAUGUUAUUGGUACUGAUCCAAUUUUAGAAGUGGUUGACAACGAAUUCUAAGUAUUUUGUUGUAUGGCUUAUUUUAAAACUGUAUAAAGCUUGCAGUGUUUAUAUCAAAUGUAAUGAUAUUGUGUAGGAAUCAAUUUUUUUUUUCAAUCAGAAUUUCCUAAAAAGACUUUCUAAUGUAAAUACAUGUAUGAAUAAUAGAAGUUUGUAAUCGUUUCUUUUACUGUCAUUGAAAUACUGUUGCAAUGAACUGCAAUUUUACACAAAAAAUGUUUUAACAUGAAAGUUUCAAAUUUCAAGGUUUAAUGAAGUUUGAAUUGUGGCUCAUAUUGCUUUUUAUUGAACUAUCUCCCUUAACCUUAGAUUUGUUGUGCAUUCUAUGUAAUAAAUUUAAUUUUGGAACAUGGGAAAGGUCUUGUUUUGAACUCUGCUGAAUUUAACUCAAGCAGAGUAAAUG